rnacentral:rRNA from 1 species
UCUCGUUCUCCCCGAAAUAGCUUUAGGGCUAGCCUCGAUCGCUUACCCGCGGUGGUAGAGCACUGGAUCCGUGCGGGGGCCUCACCGCCUACCAACCGAAACCAAACUCCGAAUGCCGCGGGUCCCGAGAUCGGGAGUCAGAACAUGUGGGCUAAGCCGUGUGUUCGAGAGGGAAACAGCCCAGACCGCCUGCUAAGGUCCCCAAAUCAACGCUGAGUGGCAAAGGAUGUGCGUUUGCCUAGACAACCAGGAUGUUGGCUUAGAAGCAGCCAUGCAUUUAAAGAGUGCGUAACAGCUCACUGGUCAAGUGGACAUGCGCCGACAAUACACGGGGCUAAGCGUUGUACCGAAGCAGCGGACUGUCUUAACAGUGGUAGGGGAGCUUUCCAUGCCGGGCCGAAGCGGAAGGGCGACCUUCCGUGGACUGCAUGGAAGUGAGAAUGCUGGCAUGAGUAACGAGAGAGGGGCGGGAAACCCCUCCGCCGUAAGCCUAAGGGUUCCUGGGCAAGGCUAAUCCCCCCAGGGUCAGUCGGGAGCUAAGGCGAGGCCGAGAGGCGUAGCCGAUGCGCAACAGGCGGACAUUCCUGUACCACCAGCCAGCGUUUGACGACGGGGCGACGGAGAAGGGUAGCCGGGCGGGGUUCUGGACGUCCCCGUGAAAGCGCGUAGGGAGAGCGGCAGGCAAAUCCGCCGCUCGCAUGUCCCGAGACGCGAGACGAAGCUUCAUGCGAAGCCGGCGAGCCCAUGCUUCCGAGAAAAACCUCUAAGGAGCUGAGCUGGUGCCCGUACCAAAACCGACACAGGUAGGCGGGUAGAGCAUACCAAGGCGAUCGGGAGAACCAUGGUUAAGGAACUCGGCAUACCGACUCCGUAACUUCGGGAGAAGGAGUGCCCUCUGCUGUGGAGCCCCUCGCGGGCCGAGCGGCGGAGGGUCGCAGCGAAACGGCCCAAGCGACUGUUUACCAAAAACACAGGACUCUGCUAAGCCGCAAGGCGACGUAUAGGGUCUGACGCCUGCCCGGUGCUGGAAGGUUACGCGGAUGGGUUAGCGCAAGCGAAGCCCUGAAGCCAAGCCCCAGUAAACGGCGGCCGUAACUAUAACGGUCCUAAGGUAGCGAAAUUCCUUGUCGGGUAAGUUCCGACCUGCACGAAUGGCGUAACGACUUGGGCGCUGUCUCAACCAUGGACCCGGUGAAAUUGUAUUAUUCGUGAAGAUGCGAAUUACCUGCGGAAGGACGGAAAGACCCCGUGAACCUUUACUGCAGCUUGGCAUUGGCUGUUGGUGCGGUGCGUAGAGGAUAGGCAGGAGCCUGCGAACCGGGAACGCCAGUUCCCGGGGAGGCGCCCUUGGAAUACUGCCCUCACCGCAUCGGCAGCCUAACGCGCCGCCCUCAUCGGGGGCGCGGACCGUGCCAGGUGGGUAGUUUGACUGGGGCGGUCGCCUCCUAAAACGUAACGGAGGCGUGCUAAGGUUCGCUCAGGGCGGUCGGCAAUCGCCCGCAGAGCACAAGAGUACAAGCGAGCCUGACUGCGAGACCCACAAGUCGAGCAGAGACGAAAGUCGGUUCUAGUGAUCCGGCGGCCCAGCGUGGAAUGGCCGU